rnacentral:rRNA from 1 species
AUUAGUCUCUUAAUUAGGGGCUUGUAUGAAUGGUCGGACAAAAAGCAAACUGUCUCAACUAUAAUAAUUGAAUUUAACUUUUAAGUGAAAAGGCUUAAAUAAAUUAAGGGGACGAUAAGACCCUAUAAAGCUUGACAAUAAGUUGUUUAUAUUAUAAAUUGUUAGUAUAACUUGAUUUUAAGCGGUGUUUGUUACGUUGGGGCGACGAGAAUAUAAAAGGUAACUGUUCUUAUAUUGUUUAGUGACAGAUAUAUUUGGAGAGUUAAUGAUCCUUUCUUAAAGAUCACAAGAUUAAGUUACUUUAGGGAUAACAGCGUAAUCUUCUUUGAGAGUCCAUAUCGACAAGAAGGGUUGCGACCUCGAUGUUGAAUUAAGGGUUCCUUAUAAUGCAGCAGUUAUAAAGGAAGGUCUGUUCGACCUUUAAAUC